rnacentral:rRNA from 1 species
UAGGGAAUCUUCGGCAAUGGACGAAAGUCUGACCGAGCAACGCCGCGUGAGUGAAGAAGGUUUUCGGAUCGUAAAACUCUGUUGUUAGAGAAGAACGUUGCAUAGAGUGGAAAAUUAUGCAAGUGACGGUAUCUAACCAGAAAGGGACGGCUAACUACGUGCCAGCAGCCGCGGUAAUACGUAGGUCCCGAGCGUUGUCCGGAUUUAUUGGGCGUAAAGCGAGCGCAGGUGGUUUAAUAAGUCUGAUGUAAAAAGGCAGUGGCUCAACCAUUGUGUGCAUUGGAAACUGUUAGACUUGAGUGCAGUAGAGGAGAGUGGAAUUCCAUGUGUAGCGGUGAAAUGCGUAGAUAUAUGGAGGAACACCGGUGGCGAAAGCGGCUCUCUGGACUGUCACUGACACUGAGGCUCGAAAGCGUGGGUAGCAAACAGGAUUAGAUACCCUGGUAGUCCACGCCGUAAACGAUGAGUGCUAGUU